UAGAUUGUACACUAUGUGUACAAGCAUGUCAGUGCCUAAAUCAUUACUAUUUUGACAUACCAUAGCUGUAUAAUCUUGAAGAUGGUCACAGUGAGGGAGACAAGUUCUUAUUUUACCAGCAUUAGGUGGACCAGGGUGCGUUGAUAAACUUUAGGGGUGAAAUCAUUACUAUUUUGAUAUACAUUAGCUUUAUAAUCUUGAGGAUGGUCACAGUGAGGGAGGGAAAGUUCUCGUUUUACCAGUGUUAUGUGGACCAGGGUGCGUUGAUACACUUUAUGGGCUAAAUCAUUACUAUUUGGCAAUCCAUAUGUAGCUGUAUAAGCUUGAUGAUAGUCACAGUGAGAGAGGGAAAGUUCUUAUUUCACCAGCGUUAGGUGGACCAGGGUGCAUUUAUACACUUUAGGGGCUAAAACACUACUAUUUGACAAGCAAUAGCUGUAUAAUCUUUAUGAUGGUCACAGUGAGGGAGGAAAAGUUCUUAUUUUACCAGCGUUAGGUGGGCCAGGGUGCAUUGAUACACUUUAUGGGCUAAAUCAUUACUAUUUGACAUGCAUAUUAGCUGUAUAAUCUUGGAGAUGGUCUAGUGAGGGAGGGAAAGUUCUUAUUUUACAAAUGUUAGGUGGACCAGGGUGCGUUGAUACACUUUAAGGCUGAAUCAUUACUAUUUGACAAGCCAUAGCUGUAUAAUCAUGAUCAUUGCCACAGGGAGGGAGGAAAAGUUCCCAUUUUACCAGCAUUAGAUUGUACACUAUGUGUACAAGCACGUCAGUGCCAAAAUCAUUACUAUUUUGACAUACCAUAGCUGUAUAAUCUUGAAGAUGGUAACAGUGAGGGAGGGAAAGUUCUUAUUUUACCAGCGUUAGGUGGACCAGGGUGCGUUGAUACACUUUAGGGGCUAAACCAUUACUAUUUUGACAUACCUUAGCUGUAUAAUCUUAAGGAUGGUCUAGAGAGGGAGGGAAAGUUUUUAUUUCACCACCGUUAGGUGGACCAGGGUGCGUUGAUAAACUUUAGGGGUGAAAUCAUCACUAUUUGGCAAUCCAUAUGUAGCUGUAUAAGCCUGAUGAUAGUCACAGUGAGAGAGGGAAAGUUCUUAUUUUACCAGCGUUACGUGGACCAGGGUGCAUUUAUACACUUUAGGGGCUAAAACACUACUAUUUGACAAGCAAUAGCUGUAUAAUCUUGAUGAUGGUCACAGUGAGGGAG